rnacentral:rRNA from 1 species
UACGGGGGGGGCAAGCGUUGUUCAGAAUUACUGGGCGUAAAGGGGACGUAGGCGGCCAACUAAGUCCGACGUGAAAUCCCAAGGCUUAACCUUGGAACUGCGUCGGAUACUGGAUGGCUUGGAGUGCGGGAGAGGAAAGUGGAAUUCCUGGUGUAGCGGUGAAAUGCGUAGAUAUCAGGAGGAACACCGGUGGUGUAGACGGCUUUCUGGACCGUAACUGACGCUGAGACACGAAAGCGUGGGUAGCAAACAGG